UUUAUACAUUCUUUCCAAUUGACUUGGCUGAGUGAUAAAGCCAGCAAAGAGCUUACUUUUAUUCAGCAAUCAUUUUGAUCUAAAAUACUUUGUGUACCAGUUACGUAAUUGAAAUUUCUGGUUAUUAGAAGUACGGGGGUGAAUUCUGCCCUCUAAUGUAUGCACAAGUUCAACUUUCCUUUAGGAUCAUCUGGGUUAAUGUACGUGUGUGUCAGGACAGAGUUUAAUAUUAUCUCUGGUGAACAGCGAACAACGUUAGGUCAAACAAGCCAGUUUCAUUUAAUACUAAGCAUGUUUAAGAAGAAAUGUCAGAGUUCAGUUCCGCUGGCUCGCGAUGUAAAUCAGGAAUCAGUGAAGCCAGACACCUACCCUGCUCUUAUACUAAUUUUGCACUAGGAUUACUCUGCUGAAAUAAAUCAGUUUUUUACCAGAAAUCCACGCUAUGAGCAGUUCAUAAACUUUAUGCAAACAAGGAAAUCAUGCUGUGUAGGACUGUUCCAAAGUGAUCCUACAUCAUUCUGCAUAUCUUCUGAUUUAUACUCAUCUUAAACUGGCACAAGGUCAGACAGCUUGGCACAGGAGAGUUCCAAACCAGAGGGACCCGAAGAAACUUGAGGACUAUGUUAACAGAAGUCUCAUGAAGGUCAUCAAGGAGAAAUGCAAAGAUUUGCACCUGGAGCAGAGUAAACACAAUCAAGUAAUCAACAGGCUGAGCAGCAACCUUGUUGAAAGGACUUUGGGUAUCUAGGGAACACGAGGUGGACUAAUAGCCAACUUGGUGCUUUUAUCACAAGUGCAGAAAACGGCAUCAUGGGUUACACUAGGAGGAGUGUGUCCAGCGGAAUGAAGGAAGAUGCACCUGCAUUCAGCAGUUGUGGAGACAACGUGGUGAUUUAACAAUAUCCUACAAGUAUUUGAAGGACAUUUACAGUAACAAUAAGUCCAAACUCUUCUCAUUAGUAGCAGACAAUUUAAGAAGGAGUAAGAGCAACUUGUUGCAGCUUGGGAAAUUCACCCUGGACAUUAAGAAAAAAAUCCUCAAUAGGAGAGUAGAACAACACUGGAAAUCACAUCUAGGUGGAAGAUCUGUCUUUGGAAGGUUUCAAGAUUUGCCUCAAGUUAACCUCAGCUACUCUGAUCUACUGCUGUUAAUAGUCAUGCAUUGAUGAGGAUAUUGCAAUAAACCUCCAGACAUCA